rnacentral:rRNA from 1 species
AUUGAACGCUGGCGGCAUGCUUUACACAUGCAAGUCGAGCGGCAGCGCGGGGGCAACCCUGGCGGCGAGCGGCGAACGGGUGAGGAAUACAUCGGAACGUGCCCGAGAGUGGGGGGAUAACGCCGCGAAAGCGGCGCUAAUACCGCAUAUUCUCUGAGGAGGAAAGUGGGGGACCGCAAGGCCUCACGCUCACGGAGCGGCCGAUGUCGGAUUAGCUAGUUGGUGGGGUAAAGGCUUACCAAGGCGACGAUCCGUAGCUGGUCUGAGAGGAUGAUCAGCCACACUGGGACUGAGACACGGCCCAGACUCCUACGGGAGGCAGCAGUGGGGUAAUUUUGGACAAUGGGGGCAACCCUGAUCCAGCCAUGCCGCGUGCGGGAAGAAGGCCUGUGUACGUACGUUACGGUAACGAAAGUACGACA